CGGCAGCACGAGAGCUUGCUCUUGGUGGCGAGUGGCGAACGGGUGAGUAAUAUAUCGGAACGUAUCCAAUAGUGGGGGAUAACUAAUCGAAAGGUUGGCUAAUACCGCAUACGCCCUACGGGGGAAAGCAGGGGAUCUUCGGACCUUGCGUUAAUGGAGCGGCUGAUAUCUGAUUAGCUAGUAGGUGAGGUAAAGGCUCACCUAGGCUUCGAUCAGUAGCUGGUCUGAGAGGACGACCAGCCACACUGGAACUGAGACACGGUCCAGACUCCUACGGGAGGCAGCAGUGGGGAAUUUUGGACAAUGGGGGCAACCCUGAUCCAGCCAUUCCGCGUGAGUGAAGAAGGCCUUCGGGUUGUAAAGCUCUUUCGCAAGGGAAGAAACGUUACGAGCGAAUAACUCGUGAUAAUGACGGUACCUUGAUAAGAAGCACCGGCUAACUACGUGCCAGCAGCCGCGGUAAUACGUAGGGUGCGAGCGUUAAUCGGAAUUACUGGGCGUAAAGCGUGCGC
rnacentral:rRNA from 1 species